CCCUCCCUCAGCUCACAACGCGCUGCUUAUCUCACGUGAUGCUAAAAAACGACUCAACCAAAAAGCCAAAUACUUCCAUCUACAUGUCUUUAUUAAUUAGACAAACAUUAAAAAUAUAACGCAGACUGUUCCUGUGUUAUAGAGAGUGUCAUGUACAAACAGACAGGUGUUUUCCUGCUUUCAUAGCUUAAAGGAAUGCCUCAUCAGAACUGCCUGGGCGGGACUGCGGACCCGGUCUUUGGACUUGGAGAGGGAGGCUAUGGAGGUGUUGAGUCAGUGUUUCCAAGGCGGCGCUGGAGGAGAAAGCAUGGCGCGCUUUCUAUGCGGUGACACCUCAUUGACAGAGCCGAGCGCUAUUGUACCACCAACAGUAUUGUGUGAGAGUGAAGAAUGUGGUUUGCUUGAUAUCAUCCUCAUCCUCAUCUUUCAUGUCUUUUGUUCUGCUGGAGAGAGAAGUUAACAGUGUAAAGUGUGAAGGACUGGUCAUGGUCACGUAAGGUGGAGUGAUAUAUGUCGCCUUGACUCCUUCCUCAGCCAUUCUGUCCAGAUUUGGAGUGUCCACAUCUCUGUCAUAGUCCCACCUGAAGCCGUCGAACGAGACUAACAGCAGUUUGUUUUUGCCUGUGGUGCAUUGUUGUCUAGCUGGAGCCGAGAGAGCGGCUGGUAAUACAAGCAGCCAAAGACUCAGUUCUAAUAACAUGACUAUUCCACUAAACUCACAGGUACGAUUUAGAUUAAAUAAUAUUGCUGUA